CAGCCGCCACGGGAAUACGGAGGGGGCUAGCGUUGCUCGGAAUGACUGGGCGUAAAGGGCGCGUAGGCGGUUUGGCAAGUCUUGUGUGAAAUCUUCGGGCUCAACCCGAAGCCUGCACGAGAAACUACCGGGCUUGAGUAUUGGAGAGGUGAGUGGAAUUUCCGGUGUAGCGGUGAAAUGCGUAGAUAUCGGAAGGAACACCUGUGGCGAAAGCGGCUCACUGGACAAUAACUGACGCUGAUGCACGAAAGCUAGGGGAGCAAACAGGAUUAGAUACCCCGGUAGUCCCUGUCUCUUAUAU
rnacentral:rRNA from 1 species